AGACCCGAAACCCGGUGAUCUAGCCAUGGGCAGGUUGAAGGUUGGGUAACACUAACUGGAGGACCGAACCGACUAAUGUUGAAAAAUUAGCGGAUGACCUGUGGCUGGGGGUGAAAGGCCAAUCAAACCGGGAGAUAGCUGGUUCUCCCCGAAAGCUAUUUAGGUAGCGCCUCGUGAAUUCAUCUCCGGGGGUAGAGCACUGUUUCGGCUAGGGGGCCAUCCCGGCUUACCAACCCGAUGCAAACUGCGAAUACCGGAGAAUGUUAUCACGGGAGACACACGGCGGGUGCUAACGUCCGUCGUGAAGAGGGAAACAACCCAGACCGCCAGCUAAGGUCCCAAAGUCAUGGUUAAGUGGGAAACGAUGUGGGAAGGCCCAGACAGCCAGGAUGUUGGCUUAGAAGCAGCCAUCAUUUAAAGAAAGCGUAAUAGCUCACUGGUCGAGUCGGCCUGCGCGGAAGAUGUAACGGGGCUAAACCAUGCACCGAAGCUGCGGCAGCGAACGUAUCACCCAAGACAACUUUACGGAGUUGACGAUUGACGGAGCGAAGCGAC
rnacentral:rRNA from 4 species